GAUGAACGCUGGCGGCGUGCCUAAUACAUGCAAGUCGAGCGAACGGACGAGAAGCUUGCUUUUCUGAUGUUAGCGGCGGACGGGUGAGUAACACGUGGAUAACCUACCUAUAAGACUGGGAUAACUUCGGGAAACCGGAGCUAAUACCGGAUAAUAUUUUGAACCGCAUGGUUCAAAAGUGAAAGAGGGUCUUGCUGUCACUUAUAGAUGGAUCCGCGCUGCAUUAGCUAGUUGGUAAGGUAACGGCUUACCAAGGCAACGAUGCAUAGCCGACCUGAGAAGGUGAUCGGCCACACUGGAACUGAGACACGGUCCAGACUCCUACGGGAGGCAGCAGUAGGGAAUCUUCCGCAAUGGGCGAAAGCCUGACGGAGCAACGCCGCGUGAGUGAUGAAGGUCUUCGGAUCGUAAAACUCUGUUAUUAGGGAAGAACAUAUGUGUAAGUAACUGUGCACAUCUUGACGGUACCUAAUCAGAAAGCCACGGCUAACUACGUG
rnacentral:rRNA from 1 species